UAUUAAUUUUCAUUGUGUGCAUUUCCUUUGUCAGUCUUCAAAGGCAUGAUUUUUGAUAGCUGUAGAGUAAUUCCACUAUAUGAAUUUAUCACAACUUAUUUAAUGAUUCCUAUUUGUUGGACUAGUUUCUUAUUGUUAAUUACCGUUAAAUAAUGGAUUUUAUUUAAAAAUAAUUUUCUUGCUACAGCAUUUAAUUUCCUUGAGUGUGGAGAGAAGCAGUUCUGUCCCUUGAUAAAGAAUUGUAAUAAAUCUGCCUGAAACUUUUUCUUACAUCACCAAAUAACUAGAUAAAUUUCUUAAUUAUUUUGUUCCUUUGGGUUGAUUAAACCACCUAGAAUAUGAUCUGAGUGGUGAAGAAAGGGAUCUGAAAGCAGGAGUGAAGUUCGAGGCUGGAAGACGGUAGGGGCGGGGAGGGUGCUCCAAGCUAAUCCCUAUGGUUGAGCUGAGAGGGAGUUUCAGACACUGAAAGAGACAGGAGACGCCAAAGACCCAAUGAGAAAUGACACUUCAGCAUCAUUCAGCAAAGUUAUCAGGUCACAAGGCAGUAAACUGCUGUCCUGUCCUCAUCUGUAGACUACUCACUAGGUUAUAGAAGAAAAACAUUUCAACCUACAUAUUAAUGGAAUCAGAAAGGCUUAGGGAAAAGAGUCAGCAAGACCCAUGUUCAGAAUUUGCUGAGCCUCAGUUUCCUCAUCUGUGAAACGGGAGUAACAUAGAGUCUGAUGGGCCAGUGUGAUACUCACACGGGCAGCGGAGAUGUGACAGGCAGCAAUGGGCAACUCUACGAGCUGGAGGAAUGUCAGAG